GACGAACGCUGGCGGCGUGCUUAACACAUGCAAGUCGAACGAAGAGCGAUGGAAGCUUGCUUCUAUCAAUCUUAGUGGCGAACGGGUGAGUAACGCGUAAUCAACCUGCCCUUCAGAGGGGGACAACAGUUGGAAACGACUGCUAAUACCGCAUACGAUCUAAUCUCGGCAUCGAGGAUAGAUGAAAGGUGGCCUCUACAUGUAAGCUAUCACUGAAGGAGGGGAUUGCGUCUGAUUAGCUAGUUGGAGGGGUAACGGCCCACCAAGGCGAUGAUCAGUAGCCGGUCUGAGAGGAUGAACGGCCACAUUGGGACUGAGACACGGCCCAGACUCCUACGGGAGGCAGCAGUGGGGAAUCUUCCGCAAUGGACGAAAGUCUGACGGAGCAACGCCGCGUGAGUGAUGAUGGCCUUCGGGUUGUAAAGCUCUGUUAAUCGGGACGAAAGGCCUUCUUGCGAAUAGUGAGAAGGAUUGACGGUACCGGAAUAGAAAGCCACGGCUAACUACGUG
rnacentral:rRNA from 1 species